GAAGGGUAUCAAACCUCUUGCACGAUUUUUUCUUCUGCACAAAACAUUUAUCCCUAAAUCCUUCUACACUAUUUUCUCUCGUCCAAGGAAGAACAGGUACAUCGUUUCAUUCUUCUUCUUUAUCUCUCUUCCUCUCUUGCCCUUUUCCAGCUUCUUCUUCUUCCUCCUAUCUUAGAUUCAUCAACAUUUCCAAUCUCUUUUUCUCCCCAAGCCCUAAUUUCCCACAUUUUGUUUCUUCCAAGCACAUCAUCUCCAUUUGUCGUCUUCAGUUGUCCCGUGCUUCUCCUCGCUUUCUCAUCCGUCUGGUACAUUCUUCGUUCAUUCCUAUAGAACUCCUCUUUGUUUUUUCGUUCUUCGAUUCGUUCUUUGCUCUUCGACUUCCUUUUUGCUUAACUGCCACUAAUUGCCUUCAUUUACUUUUUCUUCAUGGAUUCGAACGUGUUUGAUGUGGGUAUUCAUGUUUAGUUUUUGUUGUUUGUUCUUCUGUCUGCAAACUAUUUGAGAAAAUGACUGAAAGAGUAAUUUCUAGAUUAUGAUUCCUCGGGUAUGAAAUUUUCUUCCUUGUUGACUAAUAAACUUUGAGGAUGAUUGCACAAGAUCUACUCUCAUUUUUCUUUUUAAGUUCUACUCUAACUUUGGUCUUCUAGUUCUUGGAUGCACAUUUGAUAUAUAUGAGUUAUUAGAUUUUGAAUGUUUGAGAAAAAAAGUUUGGAGGAAACCAUUAGAAAAUUGGAGACAUAUAGACAAAAGUUUUCAAGCUUGGAAAGCAGUGAAUCAAAAUUACCAUUUUGUGCAUAUUGCUUCUGAGGUGUUGCUUAAGAAAGAGUAUGAUGACAAGAUGUGUGGUCGUGUGGGGUGACCUUAUAUGUUCUUUGGUUUGUUAUUCAUUUGUUAUAAUUAAUAGCAAAGUUAGAUAUUAUUAUUGGCUGCAUAUGUUUCCUCUGUGCUCCUAAAAAUGGUUGGUUUGGUUUUCACGUUGACAACAAGAUAUUGCUUUGCAAUAGGUGCUAACUAAACAAUGCCUUUGUCCAUUCCCUAAGGAAAUCAAGGGCAAGGGAGAUUUCAUGGCUAUGUGAGGAAGCUUUGGAAAAAAGAGAAUGAAAAAUGAAUGGUUAGAUUUUAAACUUUGAUGGUGUGCAGGGCCUUUAAGCAAUUUCUAGAAUUUAGUUGUUAUGGUCAUACAUGUUUAGUAUUAGGUUUUAUUUCUAGUAGUGCAGGAAUUUCAAUCUCCUCUCUUAUUGAAAAGAUUAUUUAGCCUUAGGAUGUAUUUAGGAUUGUUUCUCAAGUAAUGACUUUUUGGAAUGAAUAGAAAAUUAUUUGGAUACUUGGUUUUA